AAACUAACAAGGAUUCCCCUAGUAGCGGCGAGUGAAGCGGGAAGAGCUCAAAUUUGUAAUCUGGCGUCUUUCAGGCGUCCGAGUUGUAAUCUAUAGAAGUGUUUUCCGUGCUGGACCAUGUCCAAGUCCCUUGGAACAGGGUAUCAAAGAGGGUGACAAUCCCGUACUUGAUAUGGCUACCAGUGCUCUGUGAUACACUUUCUACGAGUCGAGUUGUUUGGGAAUGCAGCUCAAAAUGGGUGGUAAAUUCCAUCUAAAGCUAAAUAUUGGCGAGAGACCGAUAGCGAACAAGUACCGUGAGGGAAAGAUGAAAAGCACUUUGGAAAGAGAGUUAAACAGUACGUGAAAUUGUUGAAAGGGAAACGAUUGAAGUCAGUCGUGUUCAUUGGACUCAGCCGGUUUUCGGUGUAUUUCCUUUGAACGGGUCAACAUCAGUUUUGUCCGGUGGAUAAAGGCAGGAAGAAAGUGGCUUGCUUGCAAGUGUUAUAGCUUUCUGUCACAUACACUGGGGGAGACUGAGGACUGCAGCUCGCCUUUUGGCCGGGGUUCGCCCACGUUCGAGCUUAGGAUGUUGACAUAAUGGCUUUAAACGAC
rnacentral:rRNA from 1 species